rnacentral:lncRNA from 1 species
CAUACACUUCAAGAAAAAUGGAUGAUAAUAUAGUUGAUGAACUUACUUUCAAGAUCAUGGCAUCUCCUUUUGGAACAUCCACGAACAUAUCUCCAGGGACAUGUUCCACCCCAGGGUAAGAAGGUGCUUGUGCCAAGGCACAAGUCAGAUCAAAGUUGAUACCCUUAAUAUUUGGAUACUUAGAAAUAACAACACCGAGUGUGUUACCAACCCCACCUCCAACAUCAACCAACACAUUCACAUCUUUAAAGCCUUGGUAAACUUCAAGAGCCUUCUUCACGACGGCAAUAGUGAAUCCGGUCUGGUUGAAGAGCUUGCUGAAUCUUUCAUCUGUUCCCAUAUAGUCGAAGAGUUUCAUGCCGCCAUGUGCACGACCAAACGCAUCUCCUCCUUCAAGCACCACAUCUUUCAAUUGUCCCCUGAGAAUAUAUAGUAUAUCAACAACGUAAGAUUCAUUGUGUUUUUUUUUCUUUUUGGAAAAUUUAUAAUUGUUAAAUAGAAAAUUACCAUGUACUGAGGAAGACACUGUCGAAGUUGACAAUGACUUGAGAAGCAAGGGAUCCAAUAUCUUGAAUGUUAUCUUUCAAGAAGAACCUGCAAAUUGGCUCGGCUCUGUAGACCCUCUCUCCCUUUCCGGCUUGGACCGUACCACACUUGACCAUGGAGUAACUAGCGAGUAGACGAAGCAUCCGGUCUAGCAGAAUCGGUGCUCCUGGGUUACGAGGUGUGGUUGGAAGUAGAUUUGAUAUCUCGGUAGGUGAGAGGAACACCGAAGCGGCGUAGAGAGUGUCAAAGACACCGAGCUCGAGGGCAGCUUUGAGAACCAUCGGAAAGGCGGCAGCGUUGGCUAUUCUCACGGCCAUCAAGCCCAACUCGUUAUCAUCAUCAAUAACAAUUUGGGUUUUGGUGUUAGCGCUUAAUGUUUCUUCAUUAAGGAUUCCCAUUUUUUAUUUUUCUCUGCUUUGUCACGGUACCGUAAGUGAUCGCACUGAUCAGAAGCGAGGGUGGAUGGAGAAUCUGGUGUGUAUGUGUGUUUUUUCUCUUCUGGAUGAUGAUUGGAUGGAUCUUAGUUUCUUCUUUUAUAGCAAAGGCUUAGCCUACUCUUUGUUAUUUAAUUUGAAUUAACAAUAUUGUAAUAUUGUUGGCGUGCCGGUCCAUUUGGCUGGCUAAUUAGUAUCCAAGAGCCACUUGUGGCGGCUGAAACAGUCAAAUCUUGUUUCAAGUCAGUUGGUUUUUAAGUCAAUGUUCAAAGGAGACUUUAAUUAAUCACUAUAGUCGACCAAGAGUACAUCUUCAUAUCUUAUAUUUUAUAUUUCUGAAAGAGUAAUAUAUCUAUUUUCUUUUACUUUUUUGUUCUUCAAUUUGAUCGACAUAAUAUUAUAAUACUUAGACCAUCUCCAAACUAGUUUUCUAUUUCUUCCUCUAAAAUAGAAAAACUCUAUAAUAUAGAUGGAUUUGUCUCUAAUGUAUUUUUUUAUUUUUUUUUCUCUAAAAGGAAUAUUCUUCAUAUAUUCUUUUCUAAUUUUAUAAAUAGUAUUUUUUAUUUGUGAAAGUUGAAAACCAAUCCAAUUUAGUUUAACAUUUCAAAAAAUAAUGAUAUUUUUACACUGAAUAUUAUUAUAGAAACUAUUAUGUAAAUAAAAAGUAUGAUUAUAUUUAUAUAAACAGUACAUUUCACUAAAAAAUAUUUAUUUUGGUUAUAAUUGUUAAAAUAAAAAGUUAAAAGAUUGUUUUGUGAAUAAAAAAUAAGCCUCUAUUGUACAGGAAUGCUAUUUCUUCCUCUAAAUAUAGAGGUGAAAAUAACAAUCUCUAUUUUAGAGGAGGAAAUGAAAUAGGAUUGAAGUAAUUUUGCUUCUAAAUGCUAUUAUAGAGGCAAAUAUAGAGUUAGGUUGGAGAUGCUCGUCACACUUAGCUGCUACGUGAUUAGAAUUUAGAAAGAUUGCGACAUAGGAGAGGCAAAGAGUGAUGCAUAAUUUGGACCUAAGUGAGUGUAAAUCGACCUUAAUGGCCUCCAUCAUGAUUCAUGAAUUGUCCUUCCAGGAAGGUCACAAGUUUUUGGAUUGUUACUUCAUUAAUCUUGGACUUUUAAAUAGCCGUAUAAUGGACCAGUUUAAGUAAAUUACAAAGGUGUUACGUCUCUGACCGAAAUUAUCAUUGUUUUUGCAUGGUUAUAUACGGGCGUAGGCGAGGCAAAAAGGCAAUGAGUGGUUAUGGAUAGGAACGUUGCUUAUUUCUUGUGCAAAAAGAUAAUUACUCAAAUAAAUGACAUAACAACAAAAUAAACUUUAUUUUUCAUUUUCUUCCAAAACCAUGCACGAACAUUGUAUUUAAUGGUUUUGGUUCUUUUUCAUAUAAACACAUCGCUAAUUAAUUCAUUAUGUAUACAAAUUACAUGCUAUGAACAUAGAAAUCAAUAUAAUAUGAGAUACGAUGACCUUCAUCCCCUUUUUCAACUGCAUCUUCGAAUUUCUUUAUUGAAUUUUAAAGGUAGUUAUGAUUCUCUUAUCGUUGUUUCUUUUGAAAGAUUUAUUUCUAUUCCAUCUCUACUUCGAUAAGAGGCUAUGGAUCUCUGUAAUAUUUUCUUAUGUAGUAAAUGCCUCCAUGAUAAUUAAAACACAACUUUCUUCAAAAUAUAAGACUCUUGUAGCAAAGUGCUGAAACAAAGAUGUUUUUUUAUUUCAUUGCUUUGGAGUCAAUGGCAAAGUCACACUCAAACAAGGAACUGAAACAAAGAUGAAAUCGACAAACUGUUGAAGAUUUAGUAUUAUAUACAACACAUUUUAUUUGCAAAACUCAAUAAUCCAGCAGUGGUAAGCUUGACAAACGAACUUGCAAUGAGUAAAGCCUGCUUCCAUGGCUAAAGCUUCAAACUCAGCUCGUGAUCUCUCUUUUCCCCCGGAACAUUGUGUGAACAUCAACAUGUCCAUAUCAAAGGCAAUGUUCGCAUUGAUAUCUCCAUUCUCAGCGUCAUCAGGAGUGACUAGUUCUAUGACAACAACUUUACCGUUCUCCGGUAGUGAUUUCCAGCAAUUCUUAAGAAUCUUAAUGCAAUCUUCGUCGGUCCAAUCAUGAAGUAUACGCUGAAAAACAAUUUAAAUCAACAAAGUAAAUACAGAAUACUAAUUAAAUACACACAAUUAAAAAAAAGAAGUUAUAAGAUAGUUGAUGAACUUACUUUCAAGAUCAUGGCAUCUCCUUUUGGAACAUCCACGAACAUAUCUCCAGGGACAUGUUCCACCCCAGGGUAAGAAGGUGCUUGUGCCAAGGCACAAGUCAGAUCAAAGUUGAUACCCUUAAUAUUUGGAUACUUAGAAGUAACAACACCAAGGGUGUUACCAACCCCACCUCCAACAUCAACCAACACAUUCACAUCUUUGAAGCCUUGGUAAACUUCAAGAGCCUUCUUCACAACCGCAAUUGUAAAUCCGGUUUGGUUAAAGAGCUUGCUAAAUCUCUCAUCUGUUCCCAUAUAGUCGAAGAGUUUCAUGCCACCAUGUGCACGGCCAAAUGCAUCUCCUCCUUCUAGCACCACAUCUUUUAAUUGUGCCCUGCAAUUAAUGUACCAAUAAAGUAAGAUUUCAUAGCGUUUAAAAUUUAGACAUUAAAAACCGAGCAUAUUUGUUACUAAAGAUGAAUUUUGAAAAUUACCAAGUGUUGAGGAAGACACUGUCGAAAUUCACAAUGACUUGAGAAGCAAGGGAUCCAAUAUCUUGAAUGUUAUCUUUCAAGAAGAACCUGCAAAUUGGCUCGGCUCUGUAGACCCUCUCUUCCUUCCCGGAUGAGACCUUACCGCAUUUGACCAUGGAGUAGCUAGCAAGUAGACGAAGCAUCCGGUCCAACAAAACAGGGGCCUCAGGGUUACGUGGUGUAGUUGGUAGCCUACUCGCUAUCUCAGAUGGUGAGAGGAACGAGUUGGUGCGAGCUGCUUCGGCGUAAAGAGUGUCAAAGACACCGAGCUCAAGAGCAGCUUUGAGAACCAUUGGAAAGGCUGCGGCAUUGGCUAGUCUCACGGCCAUCAAACCCAACUCAUUAUCAUCAUCAAUAACAGUUUGGGAUUUGGAGUUGGCGCUUAAGGUUUCUUCAAUAAGGAUUCCCAUUCUUUUUUGUCCUUGAAUGUAACUUGGUGAUCACACUGAUCAGAGGCGAGGAAAUCAAAGAAGUCUGUGUGUAUGUGUGUUUUCUUGUAAUGUUGAAGAUCGUAAUGAUUUUGAUGGAUCUUGGUUUAUCCUUCUUUUAUAGCUCAGGCUUAGCCUCCUUAUUAUUUAUUUUAUUUUAAAAUAAUUGAUUUAAUUAUAUUGUCGGCUGCAGGUCCACUUGGCUGGCUGAAUUGUCUGAGUCUCUAUGUGGAAAAGUAAGAGCCAAUAGUGCCGGCUGAAACAAGUUAGAUAUUGCUUCAAGUUUGUUUUAUUGUAUUUAGUAAAAGUCAAGCCAGUCUAGUUUCAACACUAAGACCAACCAAGUGAUCUAUUAUAUAAGAAAACCCUUAUUUGAUCAAAAGAAAAAAAAACCCUUAUCAGGUUCAACUAUUUCAAGAAUGAAGAAUCUCUCAUCUACAUAAUACUAAUAUUAUUUAAUAUUUUAUGAUUACAUUUUAAGCUAUAAAGAUGUUGAAUCAGUCAAAAAUAUUUAAUUUAUUAUCAAAAUUAAAAAUAUAAAAAAUGUUGAAUCUGUCAAAAGAUAAGAAGAUAUAGUUUUCAAAAAUUUUAUAUAAAAAGAAUUCGUUAGUUUAUUUCAGAAAGACUGUUUGAGGUCAGCAAUAAAGAUAAUAUAAUUAUCUUAUAUAUAUGUUGGUAGAUCAAUAUCACUUGCAGAAACACUUAACGAAUUUUUGUAUUUUGUUCUUCAGUUUGACCAGCAUAGUAUUGUUAAUAUAGUAUUCGUUUGUUAGAAAAAAAAUCAAGUAUAAACUGUGACCUGUUAAGCUAGAUGGACUUCUAACCUAAAACCAAUUGGUGCUAAGUGGAGUGAUCCAUCUAUCUUAUAUAUUGCUUAGGAUCCAUUCCAACAUUCGAUGUGGGACACUUUGUGUCUAAUACGCCCCCUCAAGAUGAUGGUUCUUUGAGUGUCGAUCUCGGAAUGCUCAGGUAAGGAUCGAUGGGCGAACUUUGGGCCAGAUCGAUGUGGAUCGGGUUGAACUACGUGGAUCGGGCUCUGAUACCAUGUUAAGUUAGAUGAGCUUCUAACCUAAAACCCAUCUAGCUUAACAUGACCAAGCAAGGAGACAUGCACAACUCCAACUUGAUUGAGAUGACUGUGACCAAGAAAGGAGGUUAUCGUUUGGAGCGAAGUGAGCGUAACAAAGGAAGGAGGCUAUGAUUUGGACGAAGAGAGUGCAACAUCACGAGUGUCCUCCAUCUUGAAUCAAUAUUGUCUGUCAUUCCAAGAAGGUCACAAAAUUGUAUUGUCAAACUUCACUAACUACCAUAUUGCCACAUUGAAGCAAAUACGUUGCCUUUGUUUUCGCGCGGUUAGUGUCUACACUCUAUAGGGUGUUAAAUGAUGCGUUAAGUUGUUAUAGAUAGGAAGGUUGCCUAUUCUUGUGCAAAAAUAAAAAAUUCAAAAUUUAUGAAAACCAUGAAAACAAAUAAGGUAUGUAAUGGUUUCGUUUCAUGUUUUUAAUGCGAACGAAAUUAAAGCAAAAACAAAACAUUUCUCAAGAAAUUAGAGAAGUAGCCCUUUUGUGGACUAGAUCUCAACGUCACUACUUUAGUGAUUACUUCUCAGCUGUCUAGACUUGGUCAUGAAAGCAUUUUCGACGCAUUCAAACUUUGUUGAUAUUGUAGUUUAUUUUGUUUAUCAAAGAGGAUGCAAAAUUUUAUCUUCUCCUUGUAGUCACCAAAGUUGAGUUGUAAUGAAAAGGUUGUAUUGAAAAAAGAAAGAAAAAAAAAACUUUUGUGGAUCUUCUGAAAUCUGAACUCUUUAAAAAAAAUCAUGUGUCUAAUUAGAUAAGGCUUAUUCCUUACGAGCGGUGGCGGAUGUAAAAUUUUCAAAAUUUGUUUAAUAUCCCUAAAUUUUAGUUACUUUUUUUUAGUAAAUAUCAUUUUCUAGCUAUGCUUUUUAAGUUUAUGUAAGAUUUGCCUCCACAAAAAAAUAACCCUACAUCCGCCACUACUUAAGAGUACAGUGAGAAAAUAAACAAAAAAAUUAUCUUCUUAUUUGAUAUUGCUUGAACACACAGUCAAAGCAUGAUCAUCACAUAAUGAAACGAAGGUGAAUUAACAAUUUCAGCGUUUUAGUUUAUAUCUUAUACAUUUUAUUUACAAAACUCAAUAAUUCAGCAAUGAUAAGUCUGACAAACAACUUUGCAAUGGGUGAAGCCAGAAGCUGCAGCCAAAGCUUCAAACUCGGCUCGUGAUCUUUCUUUUCCACCGGAACAUUGGGUGAGCAUCAACAUAUCCAUAUCAAAGGCAAUAUUUGCAUUAAUGUCCCCAUUCUCAGCUUCCUCUGGAGUGACUCGUUCUAUGACAACAACUUUACCGUUGUCCGGUAGUGACUUCCAACAGUUCUUAAGAAUUUUCACACAUUCUUCGUCCGUCCAACCAUGAAGUAUACACUGUAAAACAAAUAUGAUCCCAUAUGUAAGUACAAAAUACAAAUAUACUCAUGCAUUUUUAUGAAAUAUGAAUGAUAAGAUAGUUGAUGAACUUACUUUCAAGAUCAUGGCAUCUCCUUUUGGAACAUCCACGAACAUAUCUCCCGCGACAUGUUCCACCCCAGGGUAAGAAGGUGCUUGUGCUAAGGCACAAGUCAGAUCAAAGUUGAUACCCUUAAUAUUUGGAUACUUAGAAGUAACAACACCGAGUGUGUUUCCAACUCCUCCUCCAACAUCAACCAACACAUUCACAUCU